GGAUGAUCAGUCACACUGGAACUGGAACACGGUCCAGACUCCUACGGGAGGCAGCAGUGAGGAAUUUUGCGCAAUGGGGGCAACCCUGACGCAGCAACGCCGCGUGAGUGAAGAAGGCCUUUGGGUCGUAAAGCUCUGUCAACUGGGAAGAAGUUAUGAUGAUCCAAUAGGUUGUCAUAUUGACGGUACCAGUGGAGGAAGCGCCGGCUAACUCCGUGCCAGCAGCCGCGGUAACACGGGGGGCGCAAGCGUUAUUCGGAAUUAUUGGGCGUAAAGGGCGCGUAGGCGGUCUUGUCGGUCAGAUGUGAAAGCCCAGGGCUCAACCCUGGACGUGCAUUUGAAACAGCAAGACUUGAGUACGGGAGAGGAAAGCGGAAUUCCUGGUGUAGAGGUGAAAUUCGUAGAUAUCAGGAGGAACACCGAUGGCGAAGGCAGCUUUCUGGACCGAUACUGACGCUGAGGCGCGAAGGCGUGGGUAGCGAACAGGAUUAGAUACCCUGGUAGCCCACGCAGUAAACGAUGUUCACUCGGUGUAUCGGAUAUUAAAAUCUGAUGUGCCCAAGCUAACGCAUUAAGUGAACCGCCUGGGGAGUACGGUCGCAAGACUAGAACUCAAAGGAAUUGACGGGGGCCCGCACAAGCGGUGGAGCAUGUGGUUUAAUUCGACAACGCGAAGAACCUUACCUGGGUUUGACAUCCUGUGAACGUCCAAGAGAUUGGACAGUGCCUUCGGGAGCACAGUGACAGGUGCUGCAUGGCUGUCGUCAGCUCGUGUCGUGAGAUGUUUGGUUAAGUCCAGCAACGAGCGCAACCCUUAUCGUUAGUUGCCAGCACGUAAUGGUGGGAACUUUAACGAGACUGCCCGGGUUAACCGGGAGGAAGGUGGGGAUGACGUCAAGUCCUCAUGGCCCUUAUACCCAGGGCUACACACGUGCUACAAUGGUAAAUACAGAGGGCAGCGAACUCGCGAGAGUAAGCGAAUCCCUAAAGUUUAUCUCAGUCCGGAUUGGAGUCUGCAACUCGACUCCAUGAAGUUGGAAUCGCUAGUAAUCGCGGAUCAGCAUGCCGCGGUGAAUAUGUUCCCGGGCCUUGUACACACCGCCCGUCACACCAUGGGAGUUGAUUAUACCCGACGUCGCUGGGCUAACCAUUUAUGGAAGCAGGCGCCUAAGGUAUGGUUGAUAACUGGGGUGAAGUCGUAACAAGGUA
rnacentral:rRNA from 1 species